rnacentral:rRNA from 1 species
UAACACAUGCAAGUCGAACGAAGGCCCGGAGCUUGCUUCGGUGUCCUUAGUGGCAGACGGGAGAGUAACGCGUGGGAAUUUGCCCAGUAGUACGGAAUAACUGCGGGAAACUGCAGCUAAUACCGUAUACGCCCUCCGGGGGAAAGAUUUAUCGCUACUGGAUGGGCCCGCGUCGAAUUAGCUUGUUGGUGAGGUAAUGGCUCACCAAGGCAACGAUUCGUAGCUGGUCUGAGAGGACGAUCAGCCUCACUGGGACUGAGACACGGCCCCGACUCC